CAGUCGCCGCGGUAAUACGAAGGGGGCUGGCGUUGUUCGGAUUUACUGGGCGUAAAGGGCGCGUAGGCGGACUGAUAAGUCAGGGGUGAAAUCCCAAGGCUCAACCUUGGAACUGCCUUUGAUACUGUUUGUCUUGAGUUCGAGAGAGGUAAGUGGAACUGCGAGUGUAGAGGUGAAAUUCGUAGAUAUUCGCAAGAACACCAGUGGCGAAGGCGGCUUACUGGCUCGAAACUGACGCUGAGGCGCGAAAGCGUGGGGAGCAAACAGGAUUAGAUACCCCAGUAGUCCCUGUCUCUUAUAC
rnacentral:rRNA from 1 species